rnacentral:rRNA from 1 species
UUAAGCGACUAAGCGUACACGGUGGAUGCCCUGGCAGUCAGAGGCGAUGAAGGACGUGCUAAUCUGCGAAAAGCGUCGGUAAGGUGAUAUGAACCGUUAUAACCGGCGAUGUCCGAAUGGGGAAACCCAGUGUGAUUCGUCACACUAUCGUUAACUGAAUACAUAGGUUAACGAGGCGAACCGGGGGAACUGAAACAUCUAAGUACCCCGAGGAAAAGAAAUCAACCGAGAUUCCCCCAGUAGCGGCGAGCGAACGGGGAGCAGCCCAGAGUCUGAAUCAGCUUGUGUGUUAGUGGAACGGUCUGGAAAGUCCGACGGUACAGGGUGAUAGUCCCGUACACCAAAAUGCACAGGUUGUGAACUCGAAGAGUAGGGCGGGACACGUGGUAUCCUGUCUGAAUAUGGGGGGACCAUCCUCCAAGGCUAAAUACUCCUGACUGACCGAUAGUGAACCAGUACCGUGAGGGAAAGGCGAAAAGAACCCCGGCGAGGGGAGUGAAAAAGAACCUGAAACCGUGUACGUACAAGCAGUGGGAGCACCUUCGGGUGUGACUGCGUACCUUUUGUAUAAUGGGUCAGCGACUUAUAUUCUGUAGCAAGGUUAACCGUAUAGGGGAGCCGCAGGGAAACCGAGUCUUAACUGGGCGUUAAGUUGCAGGGUAUAGACCCGAAACCCGGUGAUCUAGCCAUGGGCAGGUUGAAGGUUGGGUAACACUAACUGGAGGACCGAACCGACUAAUGUUGAAAAAUUAGCGGAUGACUUGUGGCUGGGGGUGAAAGGCCAAUCAAACCGGGAGAUAGCUGGUUCUCCCCGAAAGCUAUUUAGGUAGCGCCUCGUGAACUCAUCUUCGGGGGUAGAGCACUGUUUCGGCUAGGGGGUCAUCCCGACUUACCAACCCGAUGCAAACUACGAAUACCGAAGAAUGUUAUCACGGGAGACACACGGCGGGUGCUAACGUCCGUCGUGAAGAGGGAAACAACCCAGACCGCCAGCUAAGGUCCCAAAGUCAUGGUUAAGUGGGAAACGAUGUGGGAAGGCACAGACAGCCAGGAUGUUGGCUUAGAAGCAGCCAUCAUUUAAAGAAAGCGUAAUAGCUCACUGGUCGAGUCGGCCUGCGCGGAAGAUGUAACGGGGCUAAACCAUGCACCGAAGCUGCGGCAGCGACACUAUGUGUUGUUGGGUAGGGGAGCGUUCUGUAAGCCUGCGAAGGUGUGCUGUGAGGCAUGCUGGAGGUAUCAGAAGUGCGAAUGCUGACAUAAGUAACGAUAAAGCGGGUGAAAAGCCCGCUCGCCGGAAGACCAAGGGUUCCUGUCCAACGUUAAUCGGGGCAGGGUGAGUCGACCCCUAAGGCGAGGCCGAAAGGCGUAGUCGAUGGGAAACAGGUUAAUAUUCCUGUACUUGGUGUUACUGCGAAGGGGGGACGGAGAAGGCUAUGUUAGCCGGGCGACGGUUGUCCCGGUUUAAGCAUGUAGGCUGGUUGUCCAGGCAAAUCCGGAUAAUCAAGGCUGAGGUGUGAUGACGAGGCACUACGGUGCUGAAGUAACAAAUGCCCUGCUUCCAGGAAAAGCCUCUAAGCAUCAGGUAACAUUAAAUCGUACCCCAAACCGACACAGGUGGUCAGGUAGAGAAUACCAAGGCGCUUGAGAGAACUCGGGUGAAGGAACUAGGCAAAAUGGUGCCGUAACUUCGGGAGAAGGCACGCUGGUGUGUAGGUGAAGUCCCUGCGGAUGGAGCUGAGACCAGUCGAAGAUACCAGCUGGCUGCAACUGUUUAUUAAAAACACAGCACUGUGCAAACACGAAAGUGGACGUAUACGGUGUGACGCCUGCCCGGUGCCGGAAGGUUAAUUGAUGGGGUUAUCCGUAAGGAGAAGCUCUUGAUCGAAGCCCCGGUAAACGGCGGCCGUAACUAUAACGGUCCUAAGGUAGCGAAAUUCCUUGUCGGGUAAGUUCCGACCUGCACGAAUGGCGUAAUGAUGGCCAGGCUGUCUCCACCCGAGACUCAGUGAAAUUGAACUCGCUGUGAAGAUGCAGUGUACCCGCGGCAAGACGGAAAGACCCCGUGAACCUUUACUAUAGCUUGACACUGAACAUUGAGCCUUGAUGUGUAGGAUAGGUGGGAGGCUUUGAAGCGUGGACGCCAGUCUGCGUGGAGCCAACCUUGAAAUACCACCCUUUAAUGUUUGAUGUUCUAACGUUGGCCCCUGACCGGGGUUGCGGACAGUGUCUGGUGGGUAGUUUGACUGGGGCGGUCUCCUCCCAAAGCGUAACGGAGGAGCACGAAGGUUAGCUAAUCCUGGUCGGACAUCAGGAGGUUAGUGCAAUGGCAUAAGCUAGCUUGACUGCGAGCGUGACGGCGCGAGCAGGUGCGAAAGCAGGUCAUAGUGAUCCGGUGGUUCUGAAUGGAAGGGCCAUCGCUCAACGGAUAAAAGGUACUCCGGGGAUAACAGGCUGAUACCGCCCAAGAGUUCAUAUCGACGGCGGUGUUUGGCACCUCGAUGUCGGCUCAUCACAUCCUGGGGCUGAAGUAGGUCCCAAGGGUAUGGCUGUUCGCCAUUUAAAGUGGUACGCGAGCUGGGUUUAGAACGUCGUGAGACAGUUCGGUCCCUAUCUGCCGUGGGCGCUGGAGAAUUGAGGGGGGCUGCUCCUAGUACGAGAGGACCGGAGUGGACGCAUCACUGGUGUUCGGGUUGUCAUGCCAAUGGCACUGCCCGGUAGCUAAAUGCGGAAGAGAUAAGUGCUGAAAGCAUCUAAGCACGAAACUUGCCCCGAGAUGAGUUCUCCCUGAGACUUUAAGUCUCCUGAAGGAACGUUGAAGACGACGACGUUGAUAGGCCGGGUGUGUAAGCGCAGCGAUGCGUUGAGCUAACCGGUACUAAUGAACCGUGAGGCUUAACCU